UAUCCGGAUUUAUUGGGUUUAAAGGGAGCGUAGAUGGAUGUUUAAGUCAGUUGUGAAAGUUUGCGGCUCAACCGUAAAAUUGCAGUUGAUACUGGAUGUCUUGAGUGCAGUUGAGGCAGGCGGAAUUCGUGGUGUAGCGGUGAAAUGCUUAGAUAUCACGAAGAACUCCGAUUGCGAAGGCAGCCUGCUAAGCUGCAACUGACAUUGAGGCUCGAAAGUGUGAGUAUCAAACAGGAUUAGAUACCCUGGUAGUCCACACGGUAAACGAUGAAUACUCGCUGUUUGCGAUAUACGGCAAGCGGCCAAGCGAAAGCGUUAAGUAUUCCACCUGGGGAGUACGCCGGCAACGGUGAAACUCAAAGGAAUUGACGGGGGCCCGCACAAGCGGAGGAACAUGUGGUUUAAUUCGAUGAUACGCCAGGAACCUUACCCGGGCUUAAAU
rnacentral:rRNA from 1 species